rnacentral:rRNA from 1 species
GACAGAGGGGGCGAGCGUUGCCCGAAUUUACUGGGCGUAAAGCGCACGUAGGCGGCUCCGUAAGUCUGGUGUGAAAUCUCACGGCUCAACCGGGAGGCUGCACCAGAUACUGCGAAGCUCGAGGACGGGAGAGGAGAUCGGAAUUCCCGGUGUAGCGGUGAAAUGCAUUGAUAUCGGGAGGAACACCAGUGGCGAAGGCGGAUCUCUGGCCCGUUGCUGACGCUGAGGUGCGAAAGCUGGGGGAGCGAAAGGG